rfam:Trichobilharzia regenti genome assembly, scaffold: TRE_scaffold0043093
GUACGGAUGAAGAGUCCCAAACUAGGAGGAAAUAGCUGUCCAGUAC